rnacentral:lncRNA from 10 species
CAGAGCACGGAGGAGCAGCCGGCUCGGCGCGGGCCCCGGGGCAGCGAUGCUGAUCCUGGCCGCCGGAGGGGCCAGAGCAUGGGCUGGACCCUGGGUCUGAGGCCGCGGGGACACAGCCGCCGUGAACCGGGACAUGCCUGUAGAUGGAGGAGGAGAACCACAUUUGUCAUCUUAAAGCUUCCAGUAGCUACAUUUUUUAAAGGUAACAAGUAAUAGCCAAAGUUAACAAUACGUUUUACUUAACCCAAUAGAUAGAUACAUCAUUCAACAUGUAACCAGAAUUUAACAACCUCAGUGAGAUUCCUUCACAGGAAGGCUUUGCACGGGCACCUGCCUCUUGGCAGCAGCUCACAAGGCCGCUUCCAGUGCUCAGCAGCCCUGUGUGGCCAGUGGCCACCAUGCGGAGCAGGCACUCCGGAGGAUUUUGUGGACACAGAUUUAGGGGCGGUCAGGGCCUGGCAAUGGGCUCUAGCGAGGCUAGCCUCCAGCUUCUGAGUAAACCGCCAAGGCAAUGCCCAAUGACAUCAAAAGGGGCUUGUUCUGUUCUAGGAAGACACCUGCUGCCAGGGCGGGGCGGCAGGAAUGGUGCUGCAGGCUCGGGCCCCAGGCCUGUGCUGAGGCCGCAUCACUGGCUUGUGUUAACACCCCCAGGGUUCCUCCUUACGG